GACGAACCGUGCGAACGUUGUUCGGAAUCACUGGGCUUAAAGGGCGCGUAGGCGGCGGCGUAAGUUCGUGGUGAAAUCCCAUCGGCUCAACCGUGGAAUCGCUUCGAAUACUGCGUCGCUCGAGGGAGAUAGGGGACCGCAGAACUGCCGGUGGAGCGGUGAAAUGUGUUGAUAUCGGCGGGAAUGCCAGUGCCGAAAGGGGCGGUCUGGACCUCUUCUGACGCUGAGGCGCGAAAGCUAGGGGAGCGAACGGG
rnacentral:rRNA from 1 species